GGCAGUCAAAAUGAAGACAUACCUCAAAGCUUUUGAUUUGUGGGAUGUAGUUGAAACAGAAGGAGAACCGUCAGCAAUGAGGCAUGCGAAUAAAACGAUUGCUCAAAUCAAGCAGCACUUUAAGGAAGUUGCCAAAAGGAAAUAUCUCACCAUUCCCAUAGCAUCUAGAAGGUUGUAAUGCUAAGUGGUUUCUCCACUAGCUGGCUCUUUUUUUAUUUUUUCUUUUUUCUUUCGCCAUGUAUAUAAAGUUUGUUACUGAGUAUAUGAAAGUGGCUAUGCACAUUGUUUUUGUGCUGACCUAAUAUUUUUCUCUUUCCUCAUUCAUUUAUUCUUUUUGGCUCUCUUUUAUCCCUGUUCUUCAUAUUUCCAGUUUAUCAAAUUUUCAAAAUGAUAGAGCUUUAUGCAACACCACCUGGUGUUUGUUAUUUAAUUUAGCUUCAGUUCACCAUUUCCUUUGAAUUGGCUUGGAUCAUAAGCCACGUUUUAUUAAUUUGGGUGAUAGUCGUACAAUUCAUAAUAAUGAAAGGUUCUUUUUCUAGGUUGCCUGGUUAAUACAUGCAGAUUUUGGAAAAUUGGAAUAGAAUUCUUGGGAUCGCUCUAAAAGAAUACAAGAAGCUUUUUCGAUGUUUGCAAAAAAGGCCAAACAUUGGAAAAGAAAUGUGUUUGGCAACAUCUUUUAUAAAAAGAAACGUUUGCUAGCAAGAAUUAGUGGUCUAGAGAAAGCAUUGGAGAAGAAGAAUUCUGGAUAGUUAAGGGGCCUUGAAUAUGCUCUUUAACUUGAAUAUGAGAUAGUACUUGGAUAGGAAGAGAUCUUUUGGAUGUAGAUGGUAAAAGCAGAUUUAUUAAAAUCUAGUGAUCAACAUAAUAAGUACUUCUAUCUCAGAAUGGCUUGUUGAAGAAAUAAAAAUAAAAUUAUAAGACUUUAAACACUAGAUGGACAGUAGUGUGCUAAUCAAACUACUCUCAAAUCAUAAGCAGUUGAUUUUUAUAGGAAAUUUUAUUCUAAGGAAGGGAGUUCUAUUCCACAAAACCUAAUUAGAGGUUGGUUCCCUAAACUUAGUCAUUCUGCAUUGGAGUUUAUCCAAAGACCAAUAAAAGACAAUGAAGUUUAUGAGGCACUUAGUGAGAUGAAACCACUUAAAGCCCCAGGGAUUGAUGGUUUUCUAGUUUUUUUUUUGGCACAUUAGAUUAUAGUAGGGCAAGAUGUCAUCAGAUAUGUUAGGGAAGUCUUUACCAUUGGUGAGUUGGAACUAAAUUUAGUAAGUCCAUGAUUACAUUGAUUCUUAAUAAUAGCUCUCUUGAAGCCUUUUCACAAUUCAGAUUGAUUAGUCUACUGCUCGUAAUUUUAAAUGGCGAUGAAGGUGGUAACAAAUAGAUUGAAAUUGAUUAUGAGUGAUUUAAUGGGGGAGAAUCAGUCUAGCUUCCUUCUUGGAAGGCACAUCAUGGAUAAUAUCAUUGUUGCAUAAGAGGUGCAUUUAUUCCUUUGGAAGAAAACAAGGAUAAAUGGGGUGGAUGACGAUUAAGAUUAACCUUGAAAAACAUAUGAUCGUCUUAGCUGGGAGUUAUCUAUGACACUUUGGUUGAUGCAAAAAUAUUGUACAGUGUGAUUGACAUAAUUGUUCACAGUUGGAGAUAUUGCAGUUCUCAAAUAAUUUGGAAUGAAACUUUAUCGAAUACUUUUAUUCCAUCUCGAGGUGUUCGUUAGGGAGAUCCGUUAUUGCCUUACCUCGUAUUAUGCAUGGAGAGAUUGGCAGUGAAUCAAAGAUUGUGGAAGCCCAUAAAGCUUAGCAAAAAUGGUCCUCCAUUUACUCAUCAUUUUUGUUUUGGCAAAUGAUCUUAUUUUAUUUGCUAAAGCCACAAUUGACUAACUAGAAGUUAUUAAAAGGUUUCUAGAUGAUUUUUGUCGUUGCUCUGAUGUAAAAGUUAACAUACAUAAGCUUUCUUUCUUUUGUUUUAGAAUGUGAAUCGAAGUAUUAUUGAUGCAUUAGUUGAAUUUUCUAGUUUUACUUGUACCAAUAAUAUCGAAAAA